CCUACGGGUGGCUGCAGUGGGGAAUAUUGGACAAUGGGGGCAACCCUGAUCCAGCCAUGCCGCGUGUGUGAAGAAGGCCCUCGGGUUGUAAAGCACUUUCAGUGAGGAAGAACGCCUGGUGGUUAAUACCCAUCAGGAAAGACAUCACUCACAGAAGAAGCACCGGCUAACUCCGUGCCAGCAGCCGCGGUAAUACGGAGGGUGCGAGCGUUAAUCGGAAUUACUGGGCGUAAAGCGCGCGUAGGUGGCUUGAUAAGCCGGUUGUGAAAGCCCCGGGCUCAACCUGGGAACGGCAUCCGGAACUGUCAAGCUAGAGUGCAGGAGAGGAAGGUAGAAUUCCCGGUGUAGCGGUGAAAUGCGUAGAGAUCGGGAGGAAUACCAGUGGCGAAGGCGGCCUUCUGGACUGACGCUGACACUGAGGUGCGAAAGCGUGGGUAGCAAACAGGAUUAGAUACCAGGGUAGUC
rnacentral:rRNA from 1 species